UGCUGGCCGGAGAGACACUCAGCCUUGCUGGCAGUCUCUCGGGGAGGAAGGUCACAAUAAUUACCUCUUGUUUUCUCCUUGUCUGGCACCAUCCCAGGAAGCACUUCCUGCAAACAGUGGGAAAAUUCACUCGGGGCCAGGAUAAAGGGAAGCGAGGGAGAUCAGCAAGGCAUCGGGCCAGACGAUGAUGGCAUCUUCUGGGACAGAGGAUGUGAGGCUGAAGAAUGCUGAGUCAGGGUGAAAGGGCCUGGAGGGGUCACGGCUUCCCGCUUCCCUCUGCAGCCCCGAAGGCUGGGAAGGUACUUCUGAAAAGCUGAGAUUCUCACCGAGUCGCAGGGCUCCAGCCGCGGGGGCUGUGGGAAAAGCACCCGCAUAUUGCGAAACUCGUGGUACAACCGCAGGAGUUGGCAAGGCCUCAUUAUCGCGGGGCCUGACCUUCCCGUCCCACUCCAUAACACUGCGGACUUACUCCUGCUCUACACCAGUCGAGGGGCCGUGUUUCAGUCGUGCAGAUCAGGAUCCCGACCGCCGAAGCCUGGCACAGCCUCCGCUUCCUCUCUCGUCUCAGCGGGGCAUGUGGUGUGCGAAAGACGUUCUUGAGGACGUUCCCCAUUCGCAGCGCCCGCUUCGCGUUCCUUCUCGCUGCCACCCAACUUCUCCACAACAGAGCCGACGUCGGGGACACCACUGACAAUUUCGACUGAGCGGUUUCGCCCGCUAAGAUGCUGGCAGCGUGUUCCAAGUCGUCCACCAGAAGAAUUUGGGUUUUACCCCAUUUCACUUUCAGGCCAGCUUUUGCCACUUAACUUUCUAGGGCUUCAAGCGCCGCAGCCCAAUCGUACAGGAGGCACAACCCUACUGCCAAGAGUCAUGGGUAUAAUGAACCCCCCUUAGGACAGACGGGGUCCUGGUCCCUAACUGGCACUCCCAGCUGCUCCGGUAAUACAGAUAAUUAAAAUAACAACACAGAGAGGAGCAGUUCCAAUUCCAUCCACUAGAGGACAGUGGCACCCAUACACACUAGCCAAUUAAUUAAUUAGCCUCUUACAGUUUGUAUGGCAACUUCCGCCUUCUCUGUAUGUGUAUAUAUAUAUAUAUAUAUAUAUAUAUAUAUAUAUAUAUAUAUAUAUAUAUAUAGAUCUUCUUACUAUAUGUUCCAUUCUAUGCAUCCGAUGAAGUGGGCUGUAGCCCACGAAAGCUUAUGCCCUAAUAAAUUUGUUAGUCUCUU